rnacentral:misc_RNA from 1 species
AACCACAGAUUAUCAUUUUUUUUCCAACAGUGCUGAUGGAAACUACGAGGUCCGAUAUAAGUCUAAUGUUCUUAUCUAUCCAAAUGGACUGGUGAUGUGGGUACCUCCCGCCAUUUAUCAGAGCUCGUGCACCAUUGAUGUGACAUAUUUCCCUUUCGAUCAGCAGAAAUGCGUUAUGAAAUUUGGAUCUUGGACGUUCAAUGGCGACGAAGUAUCUUUAAAACUGGAUAGCGAUAACAGAUGGGUAGAUCUUUCUGCAUAUUGGAAGAGCGGUACAUGGGACAUUGUCGAGGUACCGGCAUUCCUGAAUACGUACAAUAAUAGCAGAGAGGGCAAACCUACUGAAACAGACAUCUCUUUCUACAUAACAAUUCGUCGAAAAACACUCUUCUACACAGUGAAUCUGAUUCUUCCCACUUUUUCCAUAUCUUUUCUCUGUAUUCUUGUAUUCUAUCUUCCGGCAGAAGCUGGAGAAAAAGUGACUCUUGGAAUAUCGAUUCUACUCUCUUUAGUAGUGUUCUUGUUGCUAGUGUCGAAAAUAUUACCUCCUACGUCUCUCGUUCUUCCUUUGAUUGCCAAGUACCUGCUCUUCACAUUUUUAAUGAAUACCGGUUCAAUCCUGGUAACAGUAAUAAUUAUCAACUGGAACUUCCGAGGACCACGGACUCAUCGAAUGCCCAACUGGAUUCGAGUGGCAUUUUUAAAAUACUUGCCUAUUAUUCUGUUUAUGAGGAGGCCAAAGAAAACUAGGUUGAGAUGGAUGAUGGAGAUGCCAGGUUACGGAACGCACCAUUUGUACCAUAGCUCACCGGAAGGUAAGCCGUAUAACACGAGAAACAAAUCAGAAUUUAUGGAGCUAGCUGACAUUCACCACCCUAACUGUACGGCGGCAAGAAAACCCUCUCCAGAACCGGAAGUUCAGCUGUUGGACACAGAGGCGCAAGACACCUUGUUCCUAUCGCCCAAAGCUUAUAGAGCAACUGAAGCUAUUGAAUUUAUUGCUGAACAUUUACGCAGUGAAGACGAGUACAUACAGAUCCGGGAAGACUGGAAAUUCGUUGCUAUGGUAAUAGACCGUCUUCAGUUGUACAUAUUCUUUGCCGUGACAACAGCCGGAACUAUAGGCAUACUCCUGGAUGCACCCCACAUUUUUCAGUACGUAGAUCAAGACAAGAUAAUUGAAAUGCACAAAGGAAAACCAACAUGAGAUGCAAAGUCUACGCGCAUUCAAGACCGCUAGCUAAAUAUGUAUGAGAGUCGAUUUUUUUCAACGCUGGGAGGUUAUGCGUUCAUGUCAGUCAUUAUUUUCCGUUGCACGAGGAAGUGUAGCUAACGCCAACAUCGCUGUGGGAUAUAUAUACUGCAAUAUGCAGAGCUUAAUAAAAAUCGGUUAUAACGGAUACAGUUUAUACCAGCAGCAGACAAUCCGUGAUCUUCGUUCCUAGUUCCGAAGGAAACCAUGUAAUUACCUGUAAUUCAUUUUUCCGUAGCUACACGUGAUGAGUGUCAAAACGUUAUGUAUCCAGCCAAAUCCCACGUGACCUAAAAUAUUUAUGAAGAGCGUAAAUAAGAUAUUGCAUAACUUCCACCAUUUUACGCACUAUGACAGUUUAUGCAAUGCAAUAUCACUCACUCAUUGAAACAAAUUCUACAAAUAUGGCAUCCUUAAACUAUUGAAAUUGGUGUGCGCACCAACGCUAAAAGAAUAUUUAAAACAUCGAAAUCAACCUUAUUAUUCGGUAAAAUUUAACUCCACUUCUUUGUUGGAAGUAGUCUGGCAUACCAUAGGAUAUCAAGACUUCGAAAACCAGAAACUCCCGCCCACACAUGUUCAGAAGAGGUCUUACAAUGAAAAAUCCACUACUCAACAUGUAUAGAAUCUUCGUUUAGAAUAGCUUCUUGAUGAUGUCUUUUUCUUCUGAUUUCUUAAAGCUCAAUGAGACAGUUCUAUCUCUUCAGAAAACUGCAAAUUUCAUUUGAAGCAGAAGCAACUGCACAAGUGGCUAAACAACUGUGAGAUUAUCACGAGCAAGCAGUAACCAGUUAACUAUGAAAACGUCUUUAGCCUGAGCGGGAACGUCCGGAGCUGGUCCAAGCGUAGUCUUCCGAGUGGAGAAGCAGUCAGUGAAGCGGAUACCGUCGGAUUGUGCCGGCAUUAAAACUAAAGCAACCUCCUGCAUCAAAGAAAAGAAAAGGAGAAAAAUUCUUUCUUGUCUUUGCAAAGCAGGAACCCAAAAUGCUAGCGUGAACUGGUACAUAUACAUACACUGUAAACAUAGACCGUAAUCAACAGUAGUGCAAUAUAAACUUUAAAAAUACAACAAGUAAAAAGCUGAGCUUAGAACCGGUUUAAAUAUUUGUAAUUUAAUUUUCUAUGCUACUGUAGUUACAACGUUGAUCGUUCGUUUUGUAUGCCUUCUUAGUUUACUUAAUUAAAAUUACAUAGCAUCUCUUCGAAAUUGUCGGAACGUUGAUUAAAAUGAGCUAAAAUAUUGAUUUAAACCCUGUUACUGUUCGAAAAUAGUGAAUUGGCCGUAUAAGAUCAGAUUCUGUUUUACGUAAUGCAAUGCCAAAAUUAUCAGUGCAUUUGAUGAUUUUGUAGGACGCCACUUAUGGAUAUACAAAGGUGCAAAGAUACUUUGGAAAUCAGUCCUGGAAAUAUUCUAAGAAGCGAGAACGGAAAAGCUGCUGAACAGAACACGUUAUGCUCAAUUAUUCGUUUCGAAGGAGCUUGUGGCGGCGGAGGUAGUUCGAAA